rnacentral:misc_RNA from 1 species
GCGAAGCGAACGCCCUCAUGGGGUUGUGCUGGCGCUCCUCGCGCAUGUGCACGCCUCGGAGGGUUGUCCAUCCUUCUCACACCUGUGCACACGUCCAGUCGGACCCGAUGCCUUGCGCGUCGACCGGCUGCCUUUCACAACAGCCAUGUCAGAGUGUCGAAAGCUUUAUGCGCUUGCGCAACCGAAAAA